AUGCUCCCCUUUUGUUUUGUUUUGUUUUGUUUUGUUUUGUUUUGUUGGUACCGGGGAUCGAACUGUGGUCUUUCUGGCGAAACCACUGAGCUAAAUCCCCGGCCUGCUUCCCUUUACUUUGAAUAUACUUGUCCCAUCAUUCUUGCUACUUUGUGUGCCUUCGUUCUUGAGAACAUAAAAUUUCUAAUUGAGUGAAUCCUUAUUAGUUUUGAAUAAUGGAAUCUUUGCCUCUGGGAAGACCCCAUGGCCUUGGCCUUGGAGCACGUCAGAAGAGAGAAAUAACUGGGUGUGAUGGCACAUUCUUGUGAUUCCUGUGGUAGGGAGGGUCACAGGUUCAAGCCUAGCCUCGGUAAUAGCGAUUUAGCAAGACCAUGUAUCAAAAUAACAUAAAAAAGGGCUGGGAUGUAGCUGAGUGGGAAGGCCCAUGAUUCAAUCCCAGUAUCAUGAAAAUAGAAAAAAGAAGAGAGAUGUGAGAUGGGUAUUACUAUUCCCUAAUGGUCAUCCUACUUGGUACAUUUCUAUUUGAAAAUAACUUUUAUGAAUAAAGUGAGUUCUAAAGUAUUACCAGUAUUACUAGUAUUUUUUGUUAGAUUAUUAAAAGUGCAGAUUGCUUUGUCAAUUUUUGCAAGUCAGAAUUGAAGUUGUUGGGCUAGGGAUUUAGCUCAUUGGGACCGCACCUGCCUGGCAAGGGCAGGGUCCUGGGUUCAGUUCCCAUACCACAAAAAAAAAAAAAAGAAGAAUUGAAGUUGUAAGCCCAGCAGGUGGAGAAGUUGAGACAACUUCUGACUCCUUGUCACUCAUCCUUUUAUGUAUGUAUUUAUGAUACUGGAGCCAGGGCCUUGUGCAUGCUAGGUAUGUAUUCUUGUGCUCUACCAUUGAGCUACUUACCUAUUCCAUUACUUGCUUUUUUUUUUUUUUUUUUGAGACAAGAUCUCACUAUGUAGUCCAGGCUGGCCUCAAACUCACAGUGAUUCUCCUGCCUCAGCCUCCAUGGUGUUGGUAUGAUGAGCAUGCACCACCACAUCAGGCUAAAUCUUCG
rnacentral:lncRNA from 1 species